GGAUGGGUAGCGAAGUGGUUAAAGCGUUCACUAAGCGACAUUAGCGUUGUGUUUCCUUCUAGCGUUUAGCGAAAGACCUGGGUUCGAAUCCCAGCCCGUCCA